rnacentral:rRNA from 1 species
UACGAAGGGGGCUAGCGUUGCUCGGAAUUACUGGGCGUAAAGCGCACGUAGGCGGAUCUUUAAGUCAGGGGUGAAAUCCUGGAGCUCAACUCCAGAACUGCCUUUGAUACUGAGGACCUUGAGUUCGGGAGAGGUGAGUGGAACUGCGAGUGUAGAGGUGAAAUUCGUAGAUAUUGGGAAGAACACCGGUGGCGAAGGCGGCUCUCUGGACCGAGACUGACGCUGAGGCGCGGAAAGCGUGGGGAGCAAACAGG